AAUACCGCAUACGACCUAAGGGAGAAAGCGGGGGAUCUUCGGACCUCGCGCUAUAGGGGCGGCCGAUGGCAGAUUAGCUAGUUGGUGGGGUAAAGGCCUACCAAGGCGACGAUCUGUAGCUGGUCUGAGAGGACGACCAGCCACACUGGGACUGAGACACGGCCCAGACUCCUACGGGAGGCAGCAGUGGGGAAUUUUGGACAAUGGGGGAAACCCUGAUCCAGCAAUGCCGCGUGUGUGAAGAAGGCCUUCGGGUUGUAAAGCACUUUUGUCCGGAAAGAAAACCUCUUGGAUAAUACCUGAGGGGGAUGACGGUACCGGAAGAAUAAGCACCGGCUAACUACGUGCCAGCAGCCGCGGUAAUACGUAGGGUGCGAGCGUUAAUCGGAAUUACUGGGCGUAAAGCGUGCGCAGGCGGUUCGCUAAGACAGAUGUGAAAUCCCCGGGCUUAACCUGGGAACUGCAUUUGUGACUGGCGGGCUAGAGUAUGGC
rnacentral:rRNA from 1 species